GGUGAGGUGCUGGAGUGGUUGAUCAGGACGGUCUCGAAAACCGUUUUACCCGAAAGGGUAACGUGGGUUCGAAUCCCACCCUCACCGCCA
rnacentral:tRNA from 1 species